rnacentral:rRNA from 1 species
GAUGAACGCUAGCGGCAGGCUUAAUACAUGCAAGUCGUGGGGCAGCACAAAUAGCAAUAUUGGGUGGCGACCGGCAAACGGGUGCGUAACACGUACGCAACCUUCCCGUUACUGGGGAAUAGCCCAGGGAAACUUGGAUUAAUACCCCAUAUUAUAUAGAUCAGGCAUCUGGUUUAUAUCAAAGCUUCGGCGGUAACGGA